rnacentral:rRNA from 1 species
UGAGUAACCUGCCCUGGACUUUGGGAUAACCUUCGGGAAACGGGGGCUAAUACCGGAUAUGACGGCUCACCGCAUGGUGUGGUUGUGGAAAGUUUUUCGGUCUGGGAUGGGCUCGCGGCCUAUCAGCUUGUUGGUGGGGUGAUGGCCUACCAAGGCGACGACGGGUAGCCGGCCUGAGAGGGCGACCGGCCACACUGGGACUGAGACACGGCCCAGACUCCGUACGGGAGCA